ACCAGCCCGCACCCCCCACCCCAUCCGACUCCCACCAUCAACGGAAGCGUUUAGUGCCAUGUGUGCCCCCAGAGAGGGGGCCGCGGGAAGGGGGAGAAAAAAGAAGAAGAAGACGACGACAAGCAAGAGGCUGCAGCUUGUGUGCCAGUGGGGACAAAGAGGCUGCUGCCAGUUGCCACGGACCACCCCCUCCACCCUCCACAAACCCCCAAGCCCACCCCCUCCACCCCCCAGAUGCUGAAGAUUGGAGCCCAGAACGAAAGGGUUGUGUGCGAGGAAGCCAUCUUGAUGGAGAAGCUGGCUGCCUGCUUCCUAAAAUGGCUGUGUUGGCAUGAGAACCAAGUUGAUGAUACCCUGCUUCGCUGUGCAGUUCCAUUGUUCCUGACCCAACGUCUUCCAUCAGUUCCAUCCGUUCCACACCUUCCAUCAAUUUGACCUGAAUGAAGAUGACUGGAUUGGCCACCACAACCUGCUCAAACCUAUUGGACGAUCAAAUGAACUGAACUGCAGUGCAAGUACUAUUAGAGGAAUGACAUAAGACGAAUUUGAGCAAAUCUUGGUACUUGAACCUAAUGACAAUCUAUAUAAAAACAUAUGCAUGCUUCAAGCUGCAUAUCGUUGUUCUACAAAGGCCAGGUGCGUUCAGACUGCAGAGCCCCGACCGACGAGAAUGUGCCUUAAUGUGUGAACUGUUUACAAUGAAAGAGUAGUGUGCGGCUAUUAAUAGAGUAGACGAUACUGUACAGUGAGUGCUAAUGAACGUGUGAGUCAUUUCUGUUCCGCUUCUGUUUUAAAUGUGCUUUUAAUGUCUCUCUGUGACUAAAUGAACUGUA
rnacentral:lncRNA from 1 species